GGAGUUAGCCGGUGCUUCUUCUGUGAGUGAUGUCCUUCCUGCCGGCUAUUAACCCGCAGGCCUUCUUCCUCACUGAAAGUGCUUUACAACCCGAAGGCCUUCUUCACACACGCGGCAUGGCUGGAUCAGGGUUGCCCCCAUUGUCCAAUAUUCCCAACUGCUGCCUCCCGUAGGAGUCUGGGCCGUGUCUCAGUCCCAGUGUGGCUGAUCAUCCUCUCAGACCAGCUACGGAUCGUCGCCUUGGUGAGCCGUUACCUCACCAACCAGCUAAUCCGACAUAGGCUCAUCCGAUAGCGCGAGGCCCGAAGGUCCCCCGCUUUCCCCCGUAGGGCGUAUGCGGUAUUAGCCUGGGUUUCCCCAGGUUAUCCCCCACUACCGGGCAGAUUCCUAUGCAUUACUCACCCGUCCGCCGCUCGCCACCAGGGAGCAAGCUCCCCGUGCUGCCGCUCGACUUGCAUGUGUUAGGCCUGCCGCCAGCGUUCAAUCUGAGCCAUGAUCAAACUCUGA
rnacentral:rRNA from 1 species